rnacentral:rRNA from 1 species
CGGCUAACUACGUGCCAGCAGCCGCGGUGAUACGUAGGGUGCGAGCGUUGUCCGGAUUUAUUGGGCGUAAAGGGCUCGUAGGUGGUUGAUCGCGUCGGAAGUGUAAUCUUGGGGCUUAACCCUGAGCGUGCUUUCGAUACGGGUUGACUUGAGGAAGGUAGGGGAGAAUGGAAUUCCUGGUGGAGCGGUGGAAUGCGCAGAUAUCAGGAGGAACACCAGUGGCGAAGGCGGUUCUCUGGGCCUUUCCUGACGCUGAGGAGCGAAAGCGUGGGGAGCGAACAGGCUUAGAUACCCUGGUAGUCCACGCUGUAAACGGUGGGUACUAGGUGUGGGGUCCAUUCCACGGGUUCCGUGCCGUAGCUAACGCUUUAAGUACCCCGCCUGGGGAGUACGGCCGCAAGGCUAAAACUCAAAGGAAUUGACGGGGCCCCGCACAAGCGGCGGAGCAUGCGGAUUAAUUCGAUGCAACGCGUAGAACCUUACCUGGGUUUGACAUGGAUCGGGAGUGCUCAGAGAUGGGUGUGCCUCUUUUGGGGUCGGUUCACAGGUGGUGCAUGGCUGUCGUCAGCUCGUGUCGUGAGAUGUUGGGUUAAGUCCCGCAACGAGCGCAACCCUUGUUCACUGUUGCCAGCACGUUAUGGUGGGGACUCAGUGGAGACCGCCGGGGUCAACUCGGAGGAAGGUGGGGAUGACGUCAAGUCAUCAUGCCCCUUAUGUCCAGGGCUUCACGCAUGCUACAAUGGCUGGUACAGAGAGUGGCGAGCCUGUGAGGGUGAGCGAAUCUCGGAAAGCCGGUCUCAGUUCGGAUUGGGGUCUGCAACUCGACCUCAUGAAGUCGGAGUCGCUAGUAAUCGCAGAUCAGCAACGCUGCGGUGAAUACGUUCCCGGGGCUUGUACACACCGCCCGUCAAGUCAUGAAAGUUGGUAACACCCGAAGCCGGUGGCCUAACCGUUG